UCCUACGGGAGGCAGCAGUAGGGAAUCUUCGGCAAUGGACGAAAGUCUGACCGAGCAACGCCGCGUGAGUGAAGAAGUAUUUCGGUAUGUAAAGCUCUAUCAGCGGGGAAGAUAAUGACGGUACCUGACUAAGAAGCCCCGGCUAACUACGUGCCAGCAGCCGCGGUAAUACGUAGGGGGCAAGCGUUAUCCGGAUUUACUGGGUGUAAAGGGAGCGUAGGUGGCAGGGCAAGUCAGAUGUGAAAACCCGGGGCUCAACUCCGGGAGUGCAUUUGAAACUGUCCAGCUAGAGUGCAGGAGAGGUA
rnacentral:rRNA from 1 species